GUCACUUCUUGGCCUUUUGGCUAAGAUCAAGUGUAGUAUCUGUUCUUAUCAAUUUAAUAAAUACUAGUUGAGUGAGCAUACUAUUGCAUUUUAAAGUCAGGUAAAAUUUUACCUCAGGUAAAGCCAAUCUGAUGGAAGAAAUCUGCUUCUGAGUAGUUUAACAAUC
rnacentral:snRNA from 1 species